rnacentral:lncRNA from 1 species
AUCUCAAAGUCGGAACUUCUCUUGUCACCUUGGGAAGAGGACAUUUUGAAAGCUAAAGUGUAGGAGAGAGGCUAGAGAGGAUUUGGGAAGAAAUGAAAGAUGAGGGCUCGCUACUUAUAGAGGUAUGAGCUUAGGAUUUCGAUUUAUUAUAAUAUAUAUUUCCUCGUUGACGUUCCUCUGCGGAAUUCUGAAUGUAAACUUCGUCCGACACGCCUAUC